rnacentral:rRNA from 1 species
UACGUAGGUGGCAAGCGUUGUCCGAAUUUACUGGGCGUAAAGAGCGCGCAGGCGGUCGAGCAAGUCGAGUGUGAAAGCCCCCGGCUCAACUGGGGAGGGUCAUUCGAUACUGCUCGACUCGAAGGCGGGAGAGGGAAGCGGAAUUCCCGGUGUAGUGGUGAAAUGCGUAGAUAUCGGGAGGAACACCAGUGGCGAAGGCGACUUCCUGGUCCGUUCUUGACGCUGAGGCGCGAAAGCUAGGGGAG